rnacentral:rRNA from 1 species
GAGUUUGAUCGUGGCUCAGGACGAACGCUGGCGGCGUGCUUAACACAUGCAAGUCGAACGAGAAUCUACUGAAAGAGUUUUCGGACAAUGGAAGUAGAGGAAAGUGGCGGACGGGUGAGUAACGCGUGAGGAACCUGCCUUGAAGAGGGGACAACAGUUGGAAACGACUGCUAAUACCGCAUGAUGCAUAAGGGUCGCAUGAUUCUUAUGCCAAAGAUUUAUCGCUUCAAGAUGGCCUCGCGUCUGAUUAGCUAGUUGGCGGGGUAACGGCCCACCAAGGCGACGAUCAGUAGCCGGACUGAGAGGUUGAACGGCCACAUUGGGACUGAGAUACGGCCCAGACUCCUACGGGAGGCAGCAGUGGGGAAUAUUGGGCAAUGGGCGCAAGCCUGACCCAGCAACGCCGCGUGAAGGAAGAAGGCUUUCGGUAUGUAAACUUCUAUCAGCAGGGAAGAAAAUAGACGGUACCUGACUAAGAAGCCCCGGCUAACUACGUGCCA